rnacentral:ncRNA from 1 species
GUUGAUCACGAGUUAGUCGGUCCUAAGUUCAAGGCGAAAGCCGAAAAUUUUCAAGUAAAACAAAAAUGCCUAACUAUAUAAACAAAGCGAAUAUAAUACACUUGAAUAAUUUUGAACGAAAGGGAAUACGGUUCCAAUUCCGUAACCUGUUGAGUAUCCGUUUGUUAUUAAAUAUGGGCCUCGUGCUCAUCCUGGCAACAGGAACGACCAUAAAGAAGCCGUCGAGAGAUAUCGGAAGAGUUUUCUUUUCUGUUUUAUAGCCGUACUACCAUGGAAGUCUUUCGCAGAGAGAUAUGGUAGAUGGGCUAGAAGAGCAUGACAUAUACUGUUGUGUCGAUAUUUUCUCCUCGGACCUUGAAAAUUUAUGGUGGGGACACGCAAACUUCUCAACAGGCCGUACCAAUAUCCGCAGCUGGUCUCCAAGGUGAAGAGUCUCUAGUCGAUAGAAUAAUGUAGGUAAGGGAAGUCGGCAAAUUAGAUCCGUAACUUCGGGAUAAGGAUUGGCUCUGAAGAUUGAGAUAGUCGGGCUUGAUUGGGAAACAAUAACAUGGUUUAUGUGCUCGUUCUGGGUAAAUAGAGUUUCUAGCAUUUAUGUUAGUUACUUGUUCCCCGGAUAGUUUAGUUACGUAGCCAAUUGUGGAACUUUCUUGCUAAAAUUUUUAAGAAUACUAUUUGGGUUAAACCAAUUAGUUCUUAUCAAUUAUAACGAUUAUCAAUUAACAAUCAAUUCAGAACUGGCACGGACUUGGGGAAUCCGACUGUCUAAUUAAAACAAAGCAUUGUGAUGGCCCUAGCGGGUGUUGACACAAUGUGAUUUCUGCCCAGUGCUCUGAAUGUCAAAGUGAAGAAAUUCAAGUAAGCGCGGGUCAACGGCGGGAGUAACUAUGACUCUCUUAAGGAAUCCGGUCUUAAUAAACCAGACCUGGUGGCACUACGACAAAAUCACAUUGAUGUGAUCGACAUACAAAUUGUGACAGACGGACACUCUAUGGAUGAUGCACACCAGCGCAAAAUCAAUAGAUACGACAGACCGGACAUACGAACUGAGUUGCGUCGCAGAUUCGAAGCCGCAGGU